AACGAACGCUGGCGGCAUGCCUAACACAUGCAAGUCGAACGAGACCUUCGGGUCUAGUGGCGCACGGGUGCGUAACGCGUGGGAACCUGCCCUUAGGUUCGGAAUAACUCCCCGAAAGGGGUGCUAAUACCGGAUAAUGUCUUCGGACCAAAGAUUUAUCGCCUUUGGAUGGGCCCGCGUUGGAUUAGCUAGUUGGUAGGGUAAAAGCCUACCAAGGCGACGAUCCAUAGCUGGUCUGAGAGGAUGAUCAGCCACACUGGGACUGAGACACGGCCCAGACUCCUACGGGAGGCAGCAGUGGGGAAUAGUGGACAAUGGGCGAAAGGCUGAUCCAGCAAUGCCGCGUGAGUGAUGAAGGCCUUAGGGUUGUAAAGCUCUUUUACCCGGGAUGAUAAUGACAGUACCGGGAGAAUAAGCGCCGGCUAACUCCGUG
rnacentral:rRNA from 1 species